GGGAUUGUGGCUCAGUGGCAGAGUGCUUGCCUAGCAUGUAUGAGGCACUGGGUUUGAUUCUCAGCACCA
rnacentral:tRNA from 1 species